rnacentral:rRNA from 1 species
CCAAGGAGUCUAACGUGUGYGCAANUCGCAGGGNGAUCUAAGCCCRGAGGUGNAAGCGAAGGCGAUGAGGGAGGGCAUCCUCCMAGUGGGGCCGAUCCGCCGAUGGCGGCRCAGGCCCRGGGUGGGGGACCGAGGGGAGCCCCUGCACCCNGAGCRUAUGYGCUAGGACCCGAAAGAUGGUGAACUAUGCCUGGUCAGGAUGAAGCCGGGGGAAACCCCGGUGGAGGUCCGCAGCGGUUCUGACNUGCAAAUCGAUCAUCGGAACUGGGUAUAGGGGCGAAAGACCAAANAAACCAUCUA